UUCUCUCUUCUCUCUUUUUUCUCUCUGUUGUGUGAAUUUCUCAGUGAAAAAUCGAAAGCUUGUAAGCUGUAAUCGAUUCACGUGUGUCUCCAUACUACUGAUCCGCAAAUUUCUUCAGAUAAAGCCCACGCAACACUCGACUUUGAAAUUUGGGGAACCCAGGUUAGGGCAAAAGGAGAGAAAGUCACAAAGAGUCCUUAGCUUUGCCAUACUACUGAUCCGUAAAUUUCUCCAGAUAAAGCGAUUUCAUCUCCAGAGAGCAAAUGUUUAGGCGCAGCUGUAAAUCUCGAGCUUUGUUCUUUAUUCCCGUUUUUUUCUUCCGACGACCACACGAACGAACGAUAAAUAUGUACAUUUUUGUGUAUUCUUUACUUGGUCUUUCCUGAUUACCAUUUUUGUUUGGUAAUUUUUUUCAUUGAUUUCAUGCAUCUGGAACUAUUUAGUGCACGUAAUUUAGGUUUCUGGCCUAAUUUUUGGGAUUUAGGUUCUCUUGAGAUUGACAAUUAAUUAGUGGUUUUAUUUUUAAUUGCAAUUUAGCACCCGAGGAAAGCUGAAUUUCUGAACUUCUGUUGUGUGAUUAGAUGCUUAGUUUGUGACAUGACUGAUUUUCUCGAAUACCUAUGUAAUUUCUACUCUGUGGGAUGGUUGAUUUUGUUUGACCUUGAUUGAAUUUUUAAACUCUUUUUUCGCUCUUGGAUUUGGUUCUUGAGGUAAGAUAAAGUUGUGGGUAUGUUUUUA